rnacentral:rRNA from 1 species
AAACCGUUCAGGGGUAAACCUGAGAAACCCAAAAGAUCGAAUGGAGAGAUUCAUCGUCAGCUCAUUUUGUAUAUAUGCGAGUUGUGAUAUGGGUUACUACUCGUAGUAUUGCCUGUACAUUCUUGUAUAUUUAGUUGCAAAGUGUUGUCGGCGUGCACUUCUCCCCUAGUAGGACGUCGCGACCCGUUGAAUGUUGGUUUACGGCCCAGGUGGGAGCUUUUAAUGAAUUUCAUUCAUUUGAAACCCUUGGUGUUUUCUAACUGGCAUUCGUCGGUAUUCGUAUGGUAUUGAGCCGCAUUAUAUAUGCGUCUAUAUCCAUCGCAAGCGAGGUUAGUUACUGAUAGUACGGACCUAGUGCCGUCGUUGGUGCUAAUCAGCUGUUGGUUGUAUGGAAUUCUAAGACUGGCUCUUAAAUAAAAUACCGGUCAGCGAUGCUACUGCUUUGGGUACUUUCAGGA